GUCACCACGUUCCAGAUUGCUGUCUUUCAUUAAUGUAUUCUAUAUUUAAAUAUGUAAUUCUACACAUUAGCUGCUGAUAUGUCCUGAUCACUUGUGGAUUUUCAUGAGUUUAUCAUGUUUAUUGGCAGGCUGAACAAGCAUGCCCAUAUUUGUUAUGCAAUCUUUGAAAAUUAAGAACAUUUUAUUUGGACCCAUAUUUGUUAUGCAAUCUUUGAAAAUUAAGAACAUUUUAUUUGGA
rnacentral:misc_RNA from 1 species